GCCAGACUCCUACGGGAGGCAGCAGUGGGGGAUAUUGCACAAUGGGGGGAACCCUGAUGCAGCGACGCCGCGUGGGUGAAGAAGUAUUUCGGUAUGUAAAGCCCUAUCGGCAGGGAAGAAAUUGGACGGUACCUGACUAAGAAGCCCCGGCUAACUACGUGCCAGCAGCCGCGGUAAUACGUAGGGGGCAAGCGUUAUCCGGAUUCACUGGGUGUAAAGGGAGCGUAGACGGCCAUGCAAGCCUGGAGUGAAAGCCCGGGGCCCAACCCCGGGACUGCUCUGGGAACUGUGCGGCUGGAGUGCGGGAGGGGCAGGCGGAAUUCCUGGUGUAGCGGUGAAAUGCGUAGAUAUCAGGAGGAACGCCGGCGGCGAAGGCGGCCUGCUGGACCGCGACUGACGUUGAGGCUCGAAAGCGUGGGGAGCAAACAGGAUUAGAUACCCCCGUAC
rnacentral:rRNA from 1 species